AUUGAACGCUGGCGGCAUGCCUUACACAUGCAAGUCGAACGGCAGCACGGGAGCAAUCCUGGUGGCGAGUGGCGAACGGGUGAGUAAUAUAUCGGAACGUGCCCAGUCGUGGGGAUAACGUAGCGAAAGCUACGCUAAUACCGCAUACGAUCUAUGGAUGAAUGCGGGGGAUCGCAAGACCUCGCGCGAUUGGAGCGGCCGAUAUCAGAUUAGGUAGUUGGUGAGGUAAAGGCUCACCAAGCCGACGAUCUGUAGCUGGUCUGAGAGGACGACCAGCCACACUGGGACUGAGACACGGCCCAGACUCCUACGGGAGGCAGCAGUGGGGAAUUUUGGACAAUGGGCGCAAGCCUGAUCCAGCAAUGCCGCGUGCAGGAUGAAGGCC
rnacentral:rRNA from 1 species